rnacentral:rRNA from 1 species
GACGAACGCUGGCGGCGUGCUUAACACAUGCAAGUCGAACGAAGUGGCGAACGGGUGAGUAACGCGUAAUUAACCUGCCCUUCAGAGGGGGACAACAGUUGGAAACGACUGCUAAUACCGCAUACUGAAGGAGGGGCUUGCGUCUGAUUAGCUAGUUGGAGGGGUAACGGCCCACCAAGGCGAUGAUCAGCAGCCGGCCUGAGAGGAUGAACGGCGACAGUGGGACUGAGACACGGCCCAGACUCGGACGGGAGGCAGCAGGGGGGAAUCUUCCGCAAUGGACGAAAGGAUGACGGAGCAACGCCGCGUGAGCGAUGACGGCCUUCGGGUUGUAAAGCUCUGUUAAUCGGGACGCGGUACCGGAAUAGAAAGCCACGGCUAACUACGUGCCAGCAGCCGCGGUAAUUC